AUGGCGGCUGAGGCGCUGGUGAGUGUUUCCAAGGGGGUGAUGAACUCUGUGUUAGAGAAGCUGGCCACUUUGAGAGUACACCAAGCACAUGAAAUGCAGCGGGAGGUGGCGUUCCUCAAGGACGAGCUCAGCAGCAUGGACGCUGUCAUCAAGAAGCUCGAGAACAUGGAAGAGGAGCUCGAUCCACAGACCAGGGAGUGGAAGAACCAGGUGAUCGAUAUGGCGUUUCACAUUGAGGACUGCAUCAACGACUUCAUGCAUGAAUCUGGUGAGGAUUCUAACAAAGGAGAUGUUGGAUUUGUUGGCAAAAUUUCUCAGUACAUUAAGGCGUUGAGAGAACGUCACCAGUUUGCCAAACAAAUCCAACAGCUAAAGACAUGGGUCCAAGACGUGAGUGAGCGUCGGAAAAGGUAUAAGCUUGAUGAGUGUGCCCCAAGUUCUAGCUAUCUACCUGUAGAUCCUCGGGUGCCUGCCCUCUACACAGAGGCGGCCAACCUUGUUGGCAUGGAGGGUCCAAAAGAGGAUCUUAUCAAGUUGUUGGCGGCAAAGGAGGAAUUUGCAUCCGUACAACCUCUUAGAGUGGUGUCUAUUGUUGGGUUUGGGGGUCUAGGGAAAACCACACUUGCAAAUCAAGUAUACCAUGAGCUUGGAGGACAAUAUGACUGCAAGGUUUUGGUGUCCAUAUCACAAAGACCUAAUAUGAUGAAGCUUCUCGGUAGGAUCAUCAAAAAACUUGAGAUGCCACAACCAACCCGUACUGACGAGGCGCAAGAUCUCAUUCACAACAUCAGAGAAUAUCUAAGAGAAAAAAGGUACUUUUUCAUCAUUGAUGAUAUAUGGGACGAAUCAGUAUGGGAAAUUAUCCCUUGUGCAUUUCCAGAUAACCAACGAGGUAGCAAAGUAAUCACAAACACGAGAAUUGAGACAGUAGCUAAUGCAACCUGCAACUAUCGGCGUGAGUUCAUUUACAAGAUGAGUCCUCUUGAUGACCAAAACUCAAGAAAAUUAUUUUUCAGUAGAGUUGGACAGAUUGAUCUUGAACCAUUGGAAGAGAUUUCGAAUGAAAUUCUACAAAAAUGUGGUGGUCUCCCACUUGCCGUUGUCAGUAUUGCUAGUCUUUUGGCCAGUCAACCAACUAGAUCAGUGACACAAUGGAAACAUGUGUGCAGUUCUUUAAGCUCAAAUAUGAGAACAAAUCCAACUUUGGAGGGGAUGAGACUGGUACUGAACCUUAGCUACAACAAUCUUCCUCAUUGUCUCAAAACUUGUUUGCUAUAUAUUGCCAUGUACCCAGAGGAUUACAUUAUUAGAAAGAACGAUCUUGUAAGGCAAUGGGUGGCUGAAGGUUUCAUCCGCAAAAUACAUGGCGAGGAUGCAAAUGAAGUCGCUAGAAGUUGCUUUAAUGAGCUUGUCAAUCGGACCAUGAUCCAACCUACAACUAUUGGGUACAAUGGAGAGGUCAUAACAUGUAAAGUUCAUGAUAUGAUUCUUGAUCUAAUCAGAAUCAAGUCGGAAGAAGAGAACUUCCUUAGUGUGGUAGAUGACCUACAGGGCAUGACCGCAGCAACAUGA
rnacentral:rRNA from 1 species